GGCGAACCGGAGCAUUCUGAUGAGGAAUCGGAGGAUUCUGAUCAGGAUCACAGCCAUCCCCACCCGGCUGUCCAAGAACCGGAGCCGGCGAACCAAGAACCGGAGGCGGCGAUCCAGAAACCGGAGGCGGCGGUGCAGAAACCGGAGGCAGCGGUGCAGAGACCGGAGGCAGCGGUGCAGAGACCGGAGGAGGAGAUCCAGAAAACGGAAGCGGAGAUCCAGAAAACGGCGGAGGCGAUCCAGAAACCGGAGGAGGCGUUCCAGAAACCGGAGGCGGCGGUCCAAGAACCCGAACCGGCGGCGACGGUCCAAGAACC
rnacentral:lncRNA from 1 species